GUGGUAAUGAUGGAGGCAGUCUUGGUGGUGAUGGCGGUGGUCAUGGUAGAAGCUUUAGAGUUGAUGAUGGUAAAGGUAGAGGUACCGACAAUAGUAUAAAAGGUGGUGAGGUUUUAAAAGAGAUAGUGGUGACAGAAAAUGAAGAAGUGAGAAAUAGAACUUCUAACUAGAAAGAAAAAAAAGUAGAAAGAAAGAAUUUACAAAGAUUCUACAUAAGCCAUUUUAUGCCAUAUCUAUUUAUACCACAUGACAGCACAUGAUUAUUUCUGUCAUGACCAUUAGAUGGAAGCAGC
rnacentral:lncRNA from 1 species